GCCUGGAUGGCUCAGUCGGUUAAGCGUCCGACUUCAGCUCAGGUCAUGAUCUCACGGUUUGUGGGUUCAAGCCUCGCUUUAGGCU
rnacentral:tRNA from 1 species